rnacentral:tRNA from 1 species
GGCAGUAUGGCGGAGUGGUAAUGAGUUGGGCUUGUAAUUGAAAGGUUGCCAGUUCGAUUCCCCGCUGGGGCACUGCCG